CUCCUCCUCAGCAGCACGUGUUGCCCUCUUUUGCUCCUCCUCAGCAGCACGUGUUGCCCUCUUUUGCUCCUCCUCAGCAGCACGUCUUGCCUCUUGUUCAGCG
rnacentral:ribozyme from 1 species